rnacentral:rRNA from 1 species
UACAGAGGUCCCGAGCGUUGUUCGGAUUCACUGGGCGUAAAGGGUGCGUAGGUGGCACGGUAAGUUUGAUGUGAAAGCUCCGAGCUCAACUCGGAAAAUGCAUUAAAAACUAUCGAGCUAGAGGAUUGGAGGGGGGACUGGAAUUCUCGGUGUAGCAGUGAAAUGCGUAGAUAUCGAGAGGAACACCAGUGGCGAAGGCGAGUCCCUGGACAACUCCUGACACUGAGGCACGAAAGCUAGGGGAGCAAACAGG